rnacentral:rRNA from 1 species
GUGGGGAAUAUUGCACAAUGGGGGAAACCCUGAUGCAGCAACGCCGCGUGAAGGAUGAAGGUUUUCGGAUUGUAAACUUCUUUAGUCAGGGACGAAUAAAUGACGGUACCUGAAGAAUAAGCCACGGCUAACUACGUGCCAGCAGCCGCGGUAAUACGUAGGUGGCGAGCGUUGUCCGGAAUUACUGGGUGUAAAGGGCGUGUAGGCGGGAAUGUAAGUCAGAUGUGAAAUCCCAGGGCUUAACCCUGGAGCUGCAUCUGAAACUAUGUUUCUUGAGUGUCGGAGAGGAAAGCGGAAUUCCUAGUGUAGCGGUGAAAUGCGUAGAUAUUAGGAGGAACACCAGUGGCGAAGGCGGCUUUCUGGACGAUAACUGACGCUGAGGCGCGAAAGCGUGGGGAGCAAACAGGAUUAGAAACCCUAGUAGUCC